UACCUGACUGGCAACGUUUAUUCUCUCUCUCUCGCGCGUUCUUCACUCCGUUGAGUCCUGUGGAUGAUUUGCUGAAGCAGAACGUCCUCUGCAUUAUGGAAGAUGAUAUGUUAGAAAUGCUUCUUUAGUAUCUACUUAUUGGUAUAGUGAUGUACCUUAAGUCUUGCCCUGGUUAUUAGUUAAGUAGUUAACAGUAGCUACUUUGGAGCAUGGGGACUUGCAGAACCAUGCACGUGGGCAACUCAACGUUUUAAAACCAUGCCGUGCUGUCUGUAUCUGGCCUAUGGACUGAACUGAGGCCGUACUCGCCAAUGACUGCGCACAUGGCAGGCGCUGCCCGGGUGACUUGAUUGCAAGGAGACUUAACCUCGAAAGUGGUUUUGAACAGGUGUGGAACUGAAUCAAUGAUGUGGCUGGAGUGGAGACAUCAUCUUUAAAGGUGUGCAACAGAGCUGUGGAUGGUGUGGAGGCAUCUGAAAAGAUUUGGGAGACUACUCCCUCGUGGCCUGUGGCUGAACCAUACACAUGAAGCCAUACACACGGCAGGAGACUCCACCCCAAAGUACUUAAUGGUGGAGACAUCACCUCAAAAGGUGUGAAGCUGCCCCAAUGAGUUGAUGGCAUGGAGACUUCAUCUGCCAAGGUGUGGAACUGACACAAGGAUGUGGCUGGAGUGGAGACAUCAUCUUUAAAGGUGUGGAACUGAACCAACGCUGUGAAAGGUAGGCUGCCUUUGCAUAAUAUCCCUGCAGUCUCAGAACUGGAUAUGUUGACUGGGGUGUUCCUCAUCUGAUGCCCCUUGCUGAUUUUCAGCCCCAACCUACCCUUCAGGUGCACAGUCACCCGAUCACAAUUUUGAAGUGCCUUUCCUAUCGUCUUGAGUUUUGUUCAGUGGUGAUAUUUAGUUCUGAACUUAGAAGUGGUGUUUAUGGGCCCUCACUUUGAGUGGGAUAUUUAUAAAAUGUGUAAAUGUGACACUUCACCUAUUUUAAGAUGUAAAAAAGUAUAACUGUAUAUGCUGAAUAAUUAAAGUUUUUAAUGUUAGCUUUAUGUAUGAACCCUUUCGUUGUGGAAGCCUGUAAGUUCAGGAGUAAUACAUUUGCCUAGUAAUUCAGAUGUUGCAUGAGUUUGUGCCAUAAUAGCUUUUAAUGUUUUUGCAUGACUACCUCACUUUUCUGUAAGUAAGGUCCCUCAGUCAAGUUCAAACAGACAUGGAGGCUAAGGCCACCUGUUGGUGGAUGGGUUAAAACAGCUGUUAAAUAUCCCUUUAAGGAUAUUUCAUUUAGCUUUGGAUGUUGACUCAAACCUAUUCAAUACAAAGGUACAGGUGUCCUAACACAGUUGCUGCUGCAGGAGUGAACCACUUGGAUUUCAGAAGCAAAUUUUGAUUGAAUGUGAUAGAACAGACUGGAUCUGCGUUCUCGUUAAGCCUGUUGGCUACGAGCUUGAAAUAUACUUACUCGUCUAACUAAUUUGUCUGUUGGUCAAUGAAGUGGUGGCUGAGGAUUUGGCCCCUGGAAAGUUAGCAUGUAAAGUUAAUAUUUCUGUCAGGCCAGCUGCAGCACUUGGGAGGUGCAAGGAAUGAGGUCGAGUCAACAUCAAUUGAGACGGAAUCUUGGGGGACCAGAGGCCUGCCCACAAGGGACUUGAAUCACAUUUUAUUUUGUCAAAUGCUUAGUGAUAUUACAUAAUGCUUACAUACCUUAACCAGCAAGCAGGUAAUGUGUAGGGGUGAGGUGACUGCAUAAAUAAACGGGGCAGAGAAGUGGCGUUAUGGGAUCGACGCAAAUAGGCAGCUUUAAAAAAAAUAAAAAAAAACCUUUAGGCAAGUCAGUUAAGAACAAAUUCUUAUUUUCAAUGACUGCCUAGGAAGUGGGUUAUAUGUAGAAACAAUAUUUAUAGACGCACUUCACAUGUACAGUGCCUUCAGGAUGUAGUCAAACACAUUGGCAUUCAACAUUUGGUUGUUAUAGCCUGAUGUCAAAAUGGAUUAAAUGGCUCACAUUUCAUUUUCAAUAAAUGUAUAAAAUGUU